CUCCCCAUCUUCAGCCACGUUCCCUGAGCCUGGGUGUGAGAGUGUUCUGUAGCUGUAUCCACCGGGACUGCCCUCCACAACUCUGCAUGUUGAUUGGUUUUGGUUUUCUGUGGUGAUCUUCACCCGUUGCAAAGAGAAGUUUUCUUGAUGAGAGGUGAAGACUGCACUUGUCUAUAUGCUCCUGCUGCCCAGGAUAUUAUGGAUGAAAAUAACCUGAAAGAGCUACAAGGACCCACAGCUAUAGGGAACCUCCAUGGCUGACAGCUACACUGUGUCAACCACUCACGCUUCCCAAGAUUUCACCACUUCAAGGAGCUUCUUGCCUAACUUCAUGGACCACCUUGACCUUCAGACUCCUCAGUACAUGUGAUCUGUUCAGUGCAUCGUAUUUCAGAGUCCAUUUCCAUCCAUAUUCAGCUGUAUGAGACUAGGGACUACUCUACUUCUUUUG